GUUGAAACACUGGUUUCAGUAUGAUCACAUAAGUUAAGCAUCACUGAGUCUGGUCAGUACCUAGAUGAGUGACCACUUGGGAACACAAGUUGCUGUAAG